AAAAAACUGAGCUGUUGUUACAUUUGGAAUUCCUUGUGCUGAUAUAUAUGUGUUGAGGUUAAGGUCUCUGUUCUCACUUGUCCUGACACUGAUUAAUUAUGAGGCUGUAAAAACUAGUAACAUCGUUUGCCCUUCUGGUCCUUUUUUUUUUUUUUUUAUAAUUUUUCUUGCCUCUGUAAUGAAACAAAUUCCCCCCAACCUAUGAUCUGACUCAUUCACUUUCUCGGUGUAUUUUGAGUAAACAACAAAAGUCUGAAUUUUAAAAGCGGAAUGUCCUGACUAGAUUAUGAUAUCUGUGUAGAUAGAGUGAUGGAAUGGCCAAUUAUGUGUGAUACUUCAUCAUUUGGAUGCAUCAUGGCCAUCUGUUAGUAGCUAUCUCUGUCUACAGAGUUAAUCAUUGAGAAAAAGUUCUAUGACUUUCGAUUUGUAGGCUAAAGAUAACAGUAGCUUGGGCUGUCACAGAUCACAGUUAAAUGAAAAAAAAGGGUACAACAAGAAACGUAUUUACUUUUUCUACACAAUUUUAGGAGUUAUAUUAUGUUAAUCAUAGUUUCAAGCAACACAUUGUUUUUAAACAUUUUU
rnacentral:lncRNA from 1 species